ACCUACGGGGGGCAGCAGUAGGGAAUCUUCCACAAUGGGCGAAAGCCUGAUGGAGCAACGCCGCGUGGGUGAAGAAGGUCUUCGGAUCGUAAAACCCUGUUGUUAGAGAAGAAAGUACGUGAGAGUAACUGUUCACGUUUCGACGGUAUCUAACCAGAAAGCCACGGCUAACUACGUGCCAGCAGCCGCGGUAAUACGUAGGUGGCAAGCGUUAUCCGGAUUUAUUGGGCGUAAAGGGAACGCAGGCGGUCUUUUAAGUCUGAUGUGAAAGCCUUCGUCUUAACCGGAGUAGUUCAUUGGAAACU
rnacentral:rRNA from 1 species